GCUUAGUGAAAUUUUUGCAACUGGCAUUGUCCUUGGUGGUUACCUGGCUCUAAUGACAGUCAUUUUCUUCUGGGCAGCUUACGAAACUAACUUCUUUCCGAAACAUUUCGGUGUCCGGAACUUCAACCAGCACCACUUGAACAUGGAUGAUGAAGCCAUUGCCAACAAACUUAAAGAACAAUUAGCAUCAGCUAUAUAUCUUCAAGUCAGUACCAUUAGUCAGGCCUUGAUAUUUGUGACCCGCUCCAGGGGCUGGUCAUUCACAGAACGUCCAGGCCUUCUG
rnacentral:misc_RNA from 1 species